rnacentral:ncRNA from 1 species
UUAAAAGCUAUGAAUAGAGAAAGUACGUUAAUAGAAACUUUCAGAGAGAAGUCUCCCCUGGCUGAAAGAGACUUUAAGUGAAAAUUAUCAGAAGUGCCUCUAGGAGCUCUUUUUCGAAUUAAGUAGAUUUUAGCGUGGACGCCCGUUAUAGCGUUAAGGUAUGUUUGUGCCUGAUAUUUUUGAGUUAUAUGCAUGUUUUUUAUUUGCAUAUAAACAGAGUGGAACCGCGGAAUAUAACUUCUGCCUCUGUA